UGCAGGUUCCUACAGAUAGAUGGCCAAUAGACCUCCUCUGUAGGUGUUUUCCCAGUUCAGCUUUAUCAGUAAGCUCCACGUCCUUCGGAGUUCGGGUCUAGAGUUUUGUGUACAUCUUGUGUAUAGGUUAUGAGUAGGUUAGGGCCCUGUUCCGAUCACAGUAGAUCCAUCAGUAAAAACUAGUAGACAUAUCCUGUCAGCUAGUGUAGUAUGUUGGGCUUGUAGGCCUUGUAUGUAUAUUUUGUUGGUUUUCAGCUGUAGUGCCCUUGCUGGCCUAGGUUUAUAUUGAUGUUUAGUUAGCGCUUGUUUGCGUUCAGUUUUAUAUUUUGCUUUGUACUAUAAUCAGAUGGUAAGUUCCAUAUUGAUCCAACUGUAGUCGAGAGCCUACGAGUGAGCCCAGAAUGACCAAGGUACAGAGCCUAGUAUGGCCGAACGCCUAUAUGCGACUCUACUACGGCAGAUCAGUUACACAUAUCCAUCCUUAUAGCGCCGGACAACUAUUUACUUAUUAUAUUGAGAGAGAUGAGUCGGUAUCAGUAAGUAAGCAUAUUUUCGAAUUACAUUUGACUCCCAGGUACUUUGAUUUAUUCUAUUUCCUUACAUACGUGGUACAUUAUAUCGUACUGACUUCCCUUUUGCUGAGGACGUUGCAUUUCAUGCAUGCAUGCAUGUCCUGAUAGACAUCUGGAUAGACAAUUCUAGUAGACAAAGUCAAACAUCAGCUAGGUUGGUGAUCUCCCCUUCCUCAAGUUACCAGGUCUAUACCUUGGAGUCCAUUAUACAUAUAUAUGUUUGAUGGGUCGGUUGAGGCCCUGUCCCGAUCAUGAUACAAUUCAAUUAUCCCUAGAGGCUUAUAGACAAGUCCUGUAUAUUUUUUAUAUCAGUAUUUUGGCUUUACCAGCCCUAUAUAGAUGUUUAGUUUAGUAUUGCUGGUUGUAGAUAUUAUUUUAAGAUGAUUCAGAAUAUGGCCACAUCAACCUAAGUUGAGGGUUACCCCUCCUGAGUUCACAGUUACAGAGUGGUACGAUCGGGCUGAGUAUGGCACCAAGUGCCAGCCAUGCCUUUUCAAGUUUGGGGCAUGACAGUUCUCUACUACGUUUGAUAUAGAUUUGCCUUUGAUUUUUCUCUACUUGUUCAACUAUAUUUUCGUUGUUGUUGAUUCAAGAACACUCAAUUAUCUGUGCCUAUUUAGAGUGUAUUGCUUGAGAAAGGGUUCAUGUUUGGGUAGGUGUUGAAAAAUAUUACUCCUAAUGUAGGUGAGAGAUCAAUACGGAGGGUUUAAAGUCCGGAUUAGAGAUGACAAAAUCUUGGUGAGAUCAUAGUGAGCAGUGAAUUUGUGUUAGCUAGCGUAGUUCGAGAGAAUAUAUCUAAUAAAUUGUGGUAGUUUCACGGGAAAGAGCUAUGACACCCAAAGUGCUCAUGAUUGGUAGAGAAUACUUAAGUGAGUUUAUAGAAAAUGUAGCGGGAGAUUUUGAAAAUAGGAAAAAUUGUAACUCUAGACCUCUCCUUAAUCUUUUCUCCGACUCUCAGUAUCUCUAGUUAUUAAUCUACUACUUUAAUUUGUUAGUUAAUUAGAUGUAAAAAUCUUAUUAUUUACACCAUCAGAAUUGUUCGAGGUUGUCAUCUUAGUUAUAUUCAAUAGUUAUAGCAAAACCUUAGUUCUUUAUAGGAUUCGACUCCGGUCUUGUAAAUCAGAUUAUAUUUGCUGGCAUAUUAGUUCUUUUUAUAAGGCAUAGUUGGGCAUAAUCAAUUUGGCGCCGUUGUCGGGGAGCUAAUGGUGUAGCUGUAGCUAUACAUAUUGCUAGGUUUUAAGUUUGAACAUUUAUUUUAUUUUUUUAAUUAUUUGAAUUUUUUUAUUUUAGUUUUACUUGUUGAUUUGAGAAACAUGUCAUCUUGGAAUUAUUAGAGUUUUGAUGUUGGUAAUUUUACUUUUGAUCUUCCUUAUGCAUAUUGUGGAGUAAACACUCGUGCCAAAAUUAUCAAUAUAUUUCCGAGAGCGAGUUAUGUGUGCCAACUUAAUCUCAUAUGUGGAAUCUCUGUGAUAUGUGUGGUGGUCAAGAUGAUCACUUUUAUAGUUGUGCUUAUAUUUCUUGUUCUCCCUCCACACCUUAUUAUGAUAGUUCUUCUUUUACUUGUGAAGUUACUAGGAAAAAAGUACAGGGGAUGCUGACUUAAAGGAGAUCAAGGAUAUGUUAAUGUGCCUUGUGGAACAAAAUAAUAAGACACAAUUACAAAUACAAAUACAAGAGGCAAUUAUCCACAACUUGAAGGCUCAAGCGAGUCAAAUGGUCGAAGCUUUGAAUGUUCAACAAGUCAAUAUGGUGAAUAAUACCCAAAAACAAUGUGAAUUAGGGUCAGAAGUUGACAUAAUGAUGGAGGAUGUCAGAGUAGAACACCAAUAACCUAUCCAAAUAGAAUUUGAGGAUGUCGAUGUUGAAAGCAUGAUACUAGAGUCAACCGAGGACAUUGAGGAUAAAUAUUUAGUUAACUCUAGUGUCAUUGAUAUAGAGGAUUUUGAACAUCUCGGAUUUCAUGUAUUUGAGCAUGUUGGACCUCAUUCAAAAUAUUUUUUUAUAUUGUGUUUGGAUGGUGAUGUCACUAUCCCAAAACCAACCUGGCCCUGAUGGUGCCCAUCAUAGCCAACCAACACAAUCCCAAAACCAAUUAAUAUUUUCAUUCUUAGAAUAAAAUCAAAGCUAUUUAACAAUAAAUCGUUAUAAAGUGCUUAAACAAAAUAACGAUGCGGAAAGAAAUCCCGACAUAGGGGUGUCACUAGUCAUGAGCAUCUAUUACUAUCGUAUUACAGCAUCAACACCAACAUGGCUGAUAAAAUCACUAAAUACAACUAAGGGAGAAUAAGGAGGAGGAAAGCAGGGCUGCGAUCGCCAGGCAGCUGCCUUGCUAACUCCGAUGAACCUGCCAGUAAGUAAUCGACACCCGCUACCAGGUUCAGAAAUACCUGAAUCUGCACACAAGGUGCAAGGAGUAAUAUAUGUAAGCCGACUCAGUAAGUAAUAAAAGUAAAUGAAAACUGGGCAGUAAGAAAUCAGGUAAUUCCACGCCAUAACAUUACAACAAUUACGGUAUGUUUCCAAAACAGUACGGAAAUCAAUUAUCUCAUAAAAAUCUAGUUUCAGUAAAAACCUUUUAGAAAAACAUCUUUCAAUAGUUUCAAACAAGUGGUGAAACAAUGAUGAAAACAUAAAUAGACCCUUGGGCAAGACAUGUAUCAUAAACCGCCCCUCGGGCAUAACAUCAAUCAGAACAAGCCCGUUGAGUUACCUUCAAUCACUCAUAAAUUGCCCCUUGGGCAACAACAUAAAUCACGAAUAGCUCCUCAGGCAACAUCACAUCACUCACACUGGGUACCCACGUUCACUGGGGGUGUACAGACUCUGAAGGGGCUAUCCAGCCCAAGCUCUAUUACAAUCCAUCUCGUGGCAUAAUAAAUCACGCCCUCGGCCUCUCAUAUAUCACAAAAUAGUACAACCCGAUGUAGCGCGCUGCCCGAUCUCAUGAUAUCCUCACAACACAAGCACUCGACCUUACUCACUCAGAAACCUCUCAAGCCACUCGGGCUAAUAAUAAAAAUGGGGUGCUCAGCCCAAAAUAUUAUUUAUGCAUCAAAUCAGAGUAAAUAAGAUUGAGCUAUGAAAUCAGUAAAACAUAACAUGACUGAGUACAGUUAUUGAAUCAAAACAGUGAGGAAUUUCAGUAAAAAAAGCCUCUAAGGGUCCAAACAGUUGCCAUGUGGCCCAAAUAUGACAUUCGGUCCAAAACAUAGUAAUACUUUCUAACAUAAGGUAAUAUCAAGUAGUUUCAGUCAAAUACACAACUUAAUAGUUGCUACAGGACGAACCAAGUCAAUAUCCCCAAUGGUGCGUUCCCCUCACGCUCAUCAUCUAGUGUGCGAGUCACCUCAAAAAGUACAACGAUGUAAAAUUCGGGGUUUCAUGCCCCCAAGAUAAUAUUUACAAUUAUUACUUACCUCAAACCGGAUCGAACUCUAACCUGUAAUGUCUUUGCCUCUCGACUCGGCCUCCAAAUGCUCUAAAUCUAACCAAAAUCAGUAUCAUAACAUUAAUACAUGCUAAAGGAACAAGGUCCAAGCGAAAAUAAUUAAAUUAACUCAACAACCUGAAAUUGGCCAAACCCGACCCCCGAUCCCAUGUCUUAAAAUUUGAUAAAUAUCACAACACUAGAAUUCUUAUCCCUUCACGAGUCUAUAUCUACCAAAAUCACCAAAAUCGGACCUCAAAUGACCCCUCAAAUACCCACUCAAAACUCUUCAAAACUCAAGCCCUAACCUUCAAUUUCACCCCAAAUACUCCACUAAUUUCAUGAUUACGUAGUGGAUAAAACAUCACAUACAUCAAAUACAAAGCCAAAGUAACUUACCUCACCGAAACCCCCCGAUUCCUCCUUGAAUUCACGGGGAGCUCCACAAUCACACAAAAAUGGUGAAAGAAUGACUAAAAUCGCGAAAGGGCCUUUUUAUACAUUCUGCCUAGCACUUUCACACUUAUGGCCCAAUUCACAAACCUGCAGACCGCUUCUACGGUCAAAAUAAUCGCAUAUGCGGUUUUCCAUUAAUUCCUCAAGGUCGCAUUUGUGCCCGAUAACCACACAUGCGGUCCCCAAAAUGUGCCCAGCUAAUAUCACCUACGAUCUGCUAUGAUGUGUAGAUUCUGCAUCUAUGGUCUCCUUACCGCACAUGCGAUCUCGCACCUGCAGUCCCCAAUCCGCAGGUGCGGAAAUGAUAGAAGCAGCAAAAUCUGGAGUAACAAUUCAAAUCCAAACCUUUUGUCAACCACCCGAAUCCAUCCCGAGGCCCUUGAGACCUCAACCAAACAUGCAAACAAGUCACAUAACAUCAUUCAAACUUAUUCCAACCUUCAAAACACUGAAAACAACAUCGAAGCACCAAAUCACCCUCGGAUUCAAACCUAAGAAUUUCCAAACUUCCAAAUUCCUCAAACGAUGUGAAACUUAUCAAACCUCAUCUGAAUUACCUGAAAUUUUACACAAACGUCACAAAUGACACAGCGGACCUACUUUAAUUUCCAUAAUUCUAAUACGACCCUGAUAUCAAGAUUUCCACUGCCGACGGAAAAAUACAAAAUUUUUAGUUUCGCCAAUUCAAGUCCCUAAUCACCUAAUGAAACUAACCAAAUCAUAAGAAUCCAAAUCCGAGAUCAAAUACUAAAAAGUCAAAUGUUGGUCAAAUCUUUCAAAUUAAAAGCUUCAACCCGAGAAUCAUUCUUCCAUAUCUGUUCUCUUUAACCUGCAAACCAAAAUCGAUGAUUUACAUAAUUCAUAAUUCCCGAGAACUGACAAGCGAAGUGCAAAUGCUUAAAAUAACAUGUCGGGUCAUUACAGGUGAAAUGAGAAUGGAUCUUUACGAGCGUAUAAAGGAGAAAAGGGAAGAGGUAGACAUGCCAUAUAUUUUGAAAAUUUCAAGGCCAUCUAGGCAAGAUGAUACUCCUCAGCUUAAACCCAAAAUUUGCAUACGAAAUUGUUUAAUUUUUGGCUUUCAAGGCUUUACAUCAUCCUAAGAGCAUGAUCAUAGAACAGAAUCAAAACUUAGGAUCCAAUUCAUAAGUUCAAAGUAGAGGCAGAAAAUGAUUCACGUCGUGCCGCGACGUUUAAUCAGGUGCUUGUUGGGAGGCAACUCAACUUUAUUAUUUUCAUUAAUUUUUUUAAAUUUCUUUGCUUUUUUAAUGUAUUAUUUUUGUUUUAUUUUAGUUUUUAUUCUGUAUGUAUAGGAGCAUGGAAACAAAUCCAUUGGAGGGAAACAAAAGCAAACCAGAUAGUUAGAACUAAGUGUGAGGUACCCACACGAAGGACGAGGCUUGGGAUAGGUUUGAGUAUCCUAUGAGCUGCUGAUGCUUCGGUCUUUCCACUACUAGGGAGUUUCUUUCACCCUGUUGUUAUUUAUGGUGUGCAAUGGUAUAAUUCACAAUUUUAAGUAUGGGAAGAGAAUAUUAUUAGAGUUAUCUUUUAUGAUACUUUAGUUGUGUUAGUUUAACUUUGGGGGGGGGGGGGGGGGUUUNNNNNNNNNNNNNNNNNNNNNNNNNNNNNNNNNNNNNNNNNNNNNNNNNNNNNNNNNNNNNNNNNNNNNNNNNNNNNNNNNNNNNNNNNNNNNNNNNNNNNNNNNNNNNNNNNNNNNNNNNNNNNNNNNNNNNNNNNNNNNNNNNNNNNNNNNNNNNNNNNNNNNNNNNNNNNNNNNNNNNNNNNNNNNNNNNNNNNNNNNNNNNNNNNNNNNNNNNNNNNNNNNNNNNNNNNNNNNNNNNNNNNNNNNNNNNNNNNNNNNNNNNNNNNNNNNNNNNNNNNNNNNNNNNNNNNNNNNNNNNNNNNNNNNNNNNNNNNNNNNNNNNNNNNNNNNNNNNNNNNNNNNNNNNNNNNNNNNNNNNNNNNNNNNNNNNNNNNNNNNNNNNNNNNNNNNNNNNNNNNNNNNNNNNNNNNNNNNNNNNNNNNNNNNNNNNNNNNNNNNNNNNNNNNNNNNNNNNNNNNNNNNNGGGGGGCUUUUCCUGAUGAUGAAUUUCCUCGAGAGAUUUCUUGAGAGAUUAAGGUCCAAUUAAUAAAUUUUUUUUUUAAUUUAGUUGUAAGUAGAUAAUAAUCCCCCCUUGAUUUUUCUUUUGGUGUUGGUUCUUUUCUAAGGGAUGUAAGUUGAACCAGGUAAGUUUUAUUUUUAGAAAAUUAAUGGACGAAAACUCGAGUGCUAUUAUGUGCCUUUUGACCUGUUUGAUGCUAGCAUAGUUAGGCCAUAGCAUGAAAAUUAUCUUUCUAAUUUUUUAGUAAAAAUUAAUGUCGUGAAAGAUUGAAUAGUAUGUCUGUGACGUGUUCUCUAGAUUACCUGAAUCAUUGUUUAUGUAGUGCUUUAUUGUUUAAUACUUCUUGACUUUGUGAUUACUUGCCUAAACUUGAGAGUUGGAAUGGAAUCUCCCCAAUUGAGGUCAUAUGCAUUGUGUGAUGUGAGGCUUUGAUUACAUUCUGUGCUAUCAUGUGUUAGUCUAGAACUUUUCGUGUGUGUUAGUCGAAGCGAAUUACGUAAGUUUUGUGAGUCUAGGAGAUGAUGUAUACGUUUCUUUGAUUGUCCAUUGAGCUAUUAUGCCACCAAAAAUAAAAUUAUCCUUAGAUGUCCCAUUUGUGCCUAUAAUCUUUUUCUUUGGCACCCACAAUACAAGUCAGUCCCAUUUUUUUCUUAAGUAAAUUUUUGUUGAAUUUUUACCUCCGAGAGAACUUAAGUUGCUAGAAGAGUAAGGUGAUUUAGGAUAGCGUUUGAAUAUAACCAAAGAAAAGCCAAAGGUGCAUGCAUAUUUUGGAAGAUCAUUAGCGGGGCAACCUAAAUUUAUGGAGAGUGUUGAAAAAAAGAGAAGGAAUAGAAAAGCAAAGAAAAAAUAUAUAUAUACAUAUAUAUAUACAUAUAUAUGUAUAUAUAUAUAUAUAUAUAUAUAUAUAUAUAUAUAUAUAUAUAUGUGUGUGUAGGUUAUAUAUAUAUAUAUAUAUGUGUGUGUAUAUAUAUAUAGAGAGAGAGAGAGUGUGUGAUAGAGAGAGAGAGAGAGAGAGAGAGAGAAAAUACACCUCCUAUUUGUUGUGAUCCGGUCUAGUGAAGGCAGAGUUGUGCUUAAAGAAAAAGAGCCAAGUUGUAUAAAGUUUCAUGGCAUUGCUAGAAUUGGUCAUGAAAAGUGUGUAGUGGAAAGUUAAGUGUAGUGUAUUAAAGUGCUUAGUAAGUGAGUUGCUAUACCUAAGAUAUAUCCUACCCGUCUCUUAGCCUAUAUUGCAACCCGUAAAGACCUAAUUGAUCUUAGAUUUUGCGAGCUUAGAUUAAUGGAGAUAUACGCUACGGAAAAAUAUAUGGUAUAACUGUGGAAUAUACAUGAAUUUCUUUGUGAGAGUGAGUAGUUCUUUAUUCAUAUAUGGGAUGUCGUUAAAUUAUAUUCGAAUGAUAUAUGAAUGUAUGGACGAAAUACCCUCUUAUUCUAUGGUGAGGCGCAUGAUUUCAUGAUAGAUAGAUGACAUUAUUAAACAUCUCUUGUUGAGUGAGUGCACGAAAUGAGAGGUGCUUAUUGGCGACGAGUCGGUAUUUGAGGUUGGGUGGUUAUGGGAAUGUUGUGUGAGUGUGUUUAAUUGGUCACUAAUAUUUCAGCAUGUGAAAGUUAGAAAAGGUAUGGAUGUGUAUGCAAGGAUUUAAUUGUUGAUAUAAACCAUCGUCAUAAGUGUAAUGUAUAAAUUACCAAAAGGUCCUCCAUUGUAUGAUGUCUUGCGUGCAUUGUUUGGUUAGAAAGGUUUUACGUCGCUCGAGGACGAGCAAGAUCUUGAGUGUGAGGUGCUUAUGUUUCGCUAAAAUUUUAUAUUUUUGCAUGUAAUUGUCUUGCAUUAUAUUUCAAUCUUGUUAACUUUGGUUUAAAUAUUUGUGACUCGAGCUUAAUAAUGGUGUUUAUAUGUGUAGGAGUCAAUUUCAAGUGAUUUAGAAAGCAUGCAUGCAAAGUGAGCUAAAAAUAGAAGAAUUUGGAGGGAAUAUGAUUUUGGUGCUCAGGCUGGCGCUAGGUACCAACCAAAACGCUUUGUUGCAGAAUAGCACAGAAGUGGAAAUUUUUCGGUGUCUAGGGUGGCGCCAGGUGCCAAACGAGUCGGCUAAGGGCGAAUUUCGUCCUAAUUCGACUAAGACUUAGUAGUUUCGACCCUACACGUCCAAACAUGUACAAAAGAGGUUCUAAACCUAUUUCUUAGGGGAGAGACAUUAUUGGAGAGGCAAGAAGUCUACGAGAACACUUGGAUGCAACGUAUCAUAAGAGUUUUCCCUUCCAUUCAUCUGUAAUAUCAUUUUAAUGCUUUUAAUUAUCAUCAUGAUUGUUAGUAUUUUAUGAGUAGCGAAAAUUUAUAAUCUAGGAUUUGAUGGUACCUAUUGGAGGAUGAUUUUCUAGUACGUUUGAUAUAGAUUUGUCCUUGAUUUUUUUCUAUUUGUUCAACUAUAUUUCGUUGUUUUUGAUUGAAAAGCUCUCAGUUGACUGUGCCUAUUUAGUGUGCAUUGCUUGAGAGAGGAUACACAUUUAGGUAGUUAUUGAAAAAAAUUAAUCCUAAUGUAGGUGAGAAAUCAAUACUGAGGGUUUAAAUGCUGCAUUAGAGAUAACGAAACCUUGGUGUGAUCGUAGUGAGCGGUAAAUUAGUGCCAGCUAGCGUAGUUCUAGAGAAUAUAUCAAGUAAAUUGUGAUAGUUGCGAGAGAGAGAGAGAGAGAGAGAGAGAGAGAGAGAGAGAGAGAGAGAGAGAGAGAGAGAUAUUACACCCAAAGUGCUCACGAUCGAUAAAAAAAUAAUUAAGUGAAUUUAUAGGAAAUGUAGCGCGGGAGAUUCCGACAAUAGAAGAAAACGUAACAUUAGACCUCUCCUUAAUGUUUCCUCCAACCCUUAGUAUCUCUAAUUAUUAAUCUACUACCUUAAUUUGUUAGUUGAUUAGAUAUUAAAAUCUUAAUAUUUAUAAUGUAGGAAUUGUUCGAGUUUGUCUUCUUGGUUAUAUUGAAUAGUUAUAGCAAAACCUUAGUUCUCUGUGAGAUUCGAUUCCGGUCUUGUAAAACGGAUUGUAUUUGCAACAACCGCUUAGUCCUUUUUAUAAGGUAUAGUUGGGCGUGAUCAAGAAGCAACCUAAGAGCCCCUAGGAACAAUACAAGAUGCUAAAAAUAUAUUAGUUACUCGGUGUUUAUAAUAAAUUAUAUUAGUUUAUUACGAUUAAAUGAUUUUAUAAAACAAAAUAUUUAUUAAUAAAUAUAAUUAAGUAAAAUAGUUUAUGUGCAAACACAUGUCAUGCACAUUUUUUAGGUUUACCCAUAUGGUAUCCAUAAGUCACUAACUCAACUAAUUUAGAUUUGCGCUCUUUAAAGCCUAUACAAGCGAAGCGCUCCUUAGCAAAAGAAAUUUUAUUCACAAGAAUCGAACCUAAACUUCGUAGUAAGAAUGGAAGAAUCUUAUUUAUCCAUAUCUCUUAGUAGCAAGCAGGUUUUGAUUUAAUGUAACAUCUAAGACGAGUAAAUUUUAAACAAUAUAAGCCCCUCUUGAAUUAUUUUGUUUAGCAAUUUGUAAUACUAACCCUAAAGAAUAGACUUUCACUAUUUAAAAGGGAAAAAGAAAGAAAUUCGAAAGUGGUCAAGAGAUCACAAUUUUAAAUUAUAAUUUCACAAGUUUAAUUUUAUAAGUGAUCAUGUAACUAUUACUGUUUUCAUCAACCACAUCUGAAUAUAUUUUUUAACACAAAAAUUUGAGCUAUUAACACAAAAAUUAUAAUUACCGAAAGACUCGACUUUUGGAUGAAGUGGUUGUUAGUUACAAGUCUCUGACACAAUGAAAUUCACCAAUUUUUUACCACCUUCAAAUGUUUCCAAAUGCUUAGUUUACCAUUGAAAAAUGUUGAUUCUUCUCACAUUAAAAUAGUUUCAUUUGUUGGAGCUAAAUAUUAAAAUUUGCAUCGAGUUAUUUUAGUUUUUAUUUUCGUAUUCGCCUUCAUACUGUGAUUAUUUCUUGUAUUUGGUUAAAUAAAACUACUUAAUUUCCUAGUUGUAUGUACCAGAAAGAUGAAGUGAGGGAGAAGAGAAGAUGAUUUUAGUAGUGGAAACGCUUGAGAAAGAAAUGAGGGGAAAAAAGAUUUAAAUGGGAAAUACAUAUCAGGCGCGUGCAUUUACCAGCAAGCACAAUUUGUGCCUGUGGCAUUUCAAGGUGUUAUUAAUUUUAUAUAUAAAAAAUUCAAAAGGAUAAUAGGACCCCUAAAAUAAUAGGUGUAUAAUUAGAACUUCGGGCAUAUAUUAAUACUAAUAAAAAUAGAAAAUAUGGAGUAAAAACUUAUUGCAUCUGAAAGUUAAAUUUUGUGGCAAUUGUGAUUUUUAUGUUCGUAUCUCAAAGUCUUGUAAUUUUUGUGUUAGAAAAUAUGAUCAUUUAUUUUUUGUGAAAAUAAUUAUAAUUAUGUAAUCAUUUAUAAAAUUUAUCCUUUGAUUUUGUUAUAUAAUUGAACCUAUUAAAUGAUAUUGAAGAAAAAGAGUAUACAUGCCGACAAGAAGACGACUACUUUGUUAGAUUUAUAGAUGUCUAACGGAUGGUCGGGUCAGGUUGUAUAGAAAAAAUUAGUAACCGUAUGGACUGUAGUCCUGGUCAGUUAGGGGUUGGGGCUUACCGGAUUUAACGAAUUUAGAUUCAUCCAGGUAAAAAAUGAACCGUAAGGGUUACGGGUACAAGGGGCCGGACCUAGCGGAGUUAGUGCUUUUUGUAUUUUUUGCAUUUUGUAUAACUAUUGUAAUUUAUAUUAAUAUAAAGUAAAAAUAUAAAGAAUGAAAUGAAGAUGAAAAAAAUUACACUUAUAAAUGGCAGUUCUACAUUUAUUUCAAAAUUCAAACUUACGAAUUAAAAGGUUUAUAUUUAACAACAAAUAAAUUAACGAAAAAAAUAAAUUAAUUAAAAAGUUUUGCAUUGCCUUAGACUCUAGAACCAUUAAUAAAUAAAUAAAAUUAAAAUAAAAUAUAGCUUUUAAACCGAGCCGGUCGGAUCAGUUAACCAAUUGAACAGUAAUUUACGUUGAUCGAGUUUGACCAAUCCGGUUAACCGGUUGAUAAAACGUGAAUAGACCAAACCCCUUAUCCUUUUAACCCAUCCCCUUAUAUCGGUCUAGAUCAGUUUUGAUUUUAACUGGUCUGGUCGGUCCAAAAACGGGCUGACCCAGCCCGUUAGAUACCUAUAGUUAGAGUUAUAUGAACAGACAAUUCAAAAAAUAUUUAUAAACUAAAUCGCUUAAAAAGUAAUUACAACUUAUAAGUAUCUCUAUUACUGUUUAGAGUCAAUUAUCAUGAGUAUUAUAGUUUGCCUAAUUACUAUCCGUAACUAUUGAUCAAUUGAUAUGCAAAGGAUACAAUUUGUAUCGACUGUAUUCAUUAGCAUAAUGAAUAUAAUCAAAACAAAGUACAGAAAUACAGGAAAAUAAAAUGCUCUUGUUGAGGGUCGAACUCAUGACCUCUACUUACUAAGUAUGGGCUAUAACUAACUGAGUUACAAAAUUUUGUUGUUCUCUUGUUUCAGCACUACAAUGGAUUUGCAUAAAAUUUAAAUAUAAUUGUAAAUAAUAAUUUUUAAAAAAUAUAGUUACAAUUAAUAAAUACAUUUUAUAUAUUUGCUGUUUCACAUAAUUUUUCCUUACUUAAUAAACCUUUUUUUCUGAAAGCAAACCAACAAAACUACUUAGAGGGCAUUAGGUGUCCCUCGAUUGUCAUUAGUCCAUAAAUAAUCUAGAGCAAUCAACACCCAAUAUAUUAACAAAUAACAAAUCCAUAUUCCUUGUCUCCAAGUCUUAUUGUGUUUAAUUCCUUAAUCACCUCUUUAAUUUAUAAUCACCUCCAUGUGCUUGCCAACUUAUUAUCAUCACCCUAUGGCCCUACUAUCAAAUCAUUUAUCAAACAUACACUCAUCAUUAUCCCAUUUAAUUGAAUUAAUCUUCCAACCAACCCUCGGCCCACAUAUAUACUUGAUCCAAAUAUUAUAUUUAUUUUUUAAAAAAUUAGAAAUAUUAAUUUAAAAUUUAAUAGCUUAGAAAAUCUAAAAUUCCAAAUUAUGACUUCGUCAUAUGCAUCUCAAUUUUUAGUCGUUCUAUUUAUAAGUAGGUACUACUCUAUCAACUACUGAUUGAUUCGGCCUGUUUGUUGCAUUUUGUUCUAAUUAUAUUUUCAAUCCACUUUUAUUAAACAAGGAUCUCCACUGAGCUGAUGGUCGAUUGAAAAACAGUCUCUCUGCCCUUUCGGGUAGGGGUAAGGCUCGUCUACAUAUUACCCUCCCCAGACAGGGAGUGCACCGAAUUCGAUAAUAAAUUGAGCACUUGAUUACGAAAUUCCGGUGUUACCACAAACAAACGUCAAGCAAGUAUAUCAACUUUGAACUUCGAAUUCCAACUGACAAUUUUCGAUAAAUUAAAUUCAAGAAAAGAGAGCAAAAUAAAAAUUAUAAAAUUAGAAUAUGAAAUCUUGCAAAUUGAAGGGAAGGGAGAAAUUGAGAAUUUGAGAAUUGAGAUUGAGAUAAGAAUUUUGAGUGAAGAAAUGAAGAAGAGGGAGAGGGUAUUUAUACAGAACAAUGAUUAAGGGACUGAAUUAGAAGAGAUACAUUUGCAUUUUUAGAAAAUAGACAUAACCAAGUCAAAAACACAAAACAUAUAAAUUAAAAGGUCCAACAAGACUUAGAAGCAGGUUCAACACUUAGCAAAAAGUAAUACAUUGAUAGAAAAGUAUUGAAAAAGUUAGGGAGAGACAAGUUGCAGUGCAAAAUUAACAAAAUUAUUAUAUAGAGGUGCAUAAUACUAAACAAGUCUAAGUAGGGCACUAAUAUAGAAUAUUUAAAGCUUAAGGGUCCAUAUUAUGCUACAUGUCUAUCACAAUAUCAAAAGAUAGACAUGUUAACUUGCAUUAUGAAGCCAAACAAUAUUAAACAUGCUAGGGAAACAUAAACUAAGAUAGACAUUCCAAAGGUAUCGAACAAUUACUAAGGAUAUAUAAUUAAGAAAACAAAGACAUGUUGAGUUGACACAAUAGCAUGGAAGCGGAUCAUAGUUACAACUGAAGGUCUUAAUAGAGGUUAGAACAUAUUACAAAUGUGAGGCAUUCAUUACAAGGAUUCAGAACAAAAUAGGAAAGCACACUCAUGCCCAAUAGUAGAUAUGAACAUUCAUGCACCAACAUAUUAGCUAAACCAACUUAAGAGAGUCCAAAUUAUUCUAAUUAGGCAUAAACAUGUCCCAGAACUUGUGGCAUUAGGUAAAAGUGCUAGGAGAGGUUUAGAUUACAAAACAAGUUCAUGCUAACAAGGUUGCACAUAGAGAUAGCCCAGAAACACAAUAAGUCAUGAAAUUUAAGAUGUGUAAAUAUGCAUGACAUAAACACAAAAGAAUGAAAUUGUAAAGCCAAGUGACUUACCAGUUAAACAGAUUACAAGAAAAGAACAACUUUCACAGUACUAUGAAUAUCAAAGAGAAAGAACCCAGAAUCUUAGUGUGUCAGAAUUCCCAAGGGCUUUAAAUAUACUCUGGGUAGUGCUCGCACCAAGAAAAGGUUAAAAAAAUCAACUCUCAGCGGCCUUGGAUUUUCAGCCUGCCAAGAAUCAAAAUAUAGGACAAGAGAAUAAGGAACCAUAGAACAAUAACUUUAAUUUUAGUGAAAUCUAACGAUUAAAGGUCUAUCAUAAAGGGGAAUGUGGAGGGGUUUAUAUAGUAGUAGAAAUUGAAAGAACAAAUAUAGAAAAAAAUCAAUUAAGAACAAAUAAGAAAAGAGAAUAUCAUGUAAAUCAAAAUCACUAGAAGAAAUAGAGAGCCUCAAUCCCCAUUGGGUUCAAUCGUCUAAAACUUGAACCAAGAGAGCAAAUCACUCUUUGUUGAGUGUAUAUAGACAGAAUAAUGCCCAAAGUCAAAUAUUCGAGCCAUUUUAGCUCGAUCUAGGAAGUGAUGCUUGUGAAACUUAGGCAAGCACUUAAGUAACAUCAUAAAUGAGCGACCAAUGGUGAGAGAAUAUUAAUAAGGUAAGUAUAUCAUAGGUAGGGGUCAUAAAUACUCGAAGUAAGCUCCUGGCUCGCCCCUAUCUCUAAAGGGGCUUACGAAUGAGCGGAGUGCUUACGGCCGUGGUAGCUGCGAGCCUCCUAGGUCUUGCUCUCUCGUCUAAUAGUAGAUAUUCUUAUUUCCAUUUUGAUGGUGGGAUGGGUCAUUUGGAGUGGGGACGAGGUACAAGUGUAAAUAAAUGAAAAGACAGGGGGUAUUUGGUUGGAAAUAAGUCUUUGUGCCAGGCCAUAUAUUUGGAAGCACAGUUGGCUACAAAAAUAAGAGUUUUGCUAAAUUGUCCCUAUAUAUAUAAACACGAGCACAACAGUUAUCUGUUUUAUUAUUAGAGGGCCAAAAGCUAGAGCCACAAUUUGCAAACAAAGAGGAGAGAUUUCAAUUUUCUUUCUUCAUCCAUGUAAGUGAAACUUACUACACUUAAUUCUUUCUUGUUUUCUCUUCAUUUUUAGUGUUAAAUCUUUUUUUUUUAAGUUUAUUAAAUUCAUAAUCUUAUUCAAGGUGUUCACAAUAGCAAAUAUGCCUAGUUCCUUUCUUCCUUUUUCAUUUUUAAUAGGAUUAAUUAAUAAAUAUAUACAUGUAUAUAUAGCAAGAAUUUUCAUCUUGAACAAUUCUUUUUUUAUUGUGCUACAGAUAUAAAUAUUUGAAGAAAUAAAGAUGGGUUAUUGGCAAGCCAAGGUUGUUCCAAAAUUAAAGCAGAUCUUUGACAAAAAUGGACCGAAGAAGGCUGCUGCUGCUGAGGCAUGGAAAACCUUUGACGAGGCUAAGGUAAAAACAAAUUUACAAUAUUUUAAUCUGUUGUAACAAAUAAUAUAUGUCUUACUUGUAUAUAUUAUUAAUCUCACCUAUUAUUAUGUAUUGCCAAUAAUUACUUUUUUGUAACUUUUGUGUGUAAUAUUUUUUACACCAUCAGUGUGUAGAAGCUGAACUCUCCUUUUUAUUUCGGGUUUUUGUAAAGAAAUUAUUGCAAAGAAGUACCUCAUAAUUUAAAUCAAGGCAAAAAAAAAAGAGGGAAAAAAGAAAAUAAAUAUAAAGACAAGGGGCGCAUGUAAAUUUUUGUUUAUUUACCUAGUUCAUAUAAACAAAUAUGAGUUAUUGUGUAAUAAAUUUCAGGAGCAAUACAGCAAAGAGUUCGACGAGAAGAAAACUGAGCUCCAACCUAAAGUUGUUGAAAUUUAUGAAGCUGCUGCAGUUGAGAUCAAGGUUUUUAUUUACAUGCUUUACUCAAAUAUUAAAAAAGAAAAAACUGCAGAAUUACUACUAUAUAUUGUUGCAAACAAACACAAAACUUACUGCUCUUAUCUCUUUAUGAUUAAAUAAAAAAACAGACUUUGGUGAAGGGACCAAAGGUUUCAGGAUUGAAGAAACACUCAACUGAAGUCCAGAAAUUCCUUGAUGAGCUUGUCAAGAUUGGUAGGCCUUCAUUUCUUUUACUUAGUAUUUGCAAUAUAUUUUUAGCAAUUAUAUGUACUUCUAUUCUGUUUUAUGUGACACUAUAAUUUUGUUAUUCGGACUCAAUAAUUUUCUUGUUUGAUCACAAUUUUCUUAAUAUUAUUAAUUUAUCUUUUUAGAAUUAUUGUUACAGCUUAUAAUAGCACUUUUUAUACACAAAAAUAAUUAAGUACUUUGACCCUUUCACUCCUACCCCAUCAUGUAAAAUAAAAUUGAGGAAGUACUAUUUAUUCCAUUGGGGUUUAAUUAACUUAUAUAUANNNNNNNNNNNNNNNNNNNNNNNNNNNNNNNNNNNNNNNNNNNNNNNNNNNNNNNNNNNNNNNNNNNNNNNNNNNNNNNNNNNNNNNNNNNNNNNNNNNNNNNNNNNNNNNNNNNNNNNNNNNNNNNNNNNNNNNNNNNNNNNNNNNNNNNNNNNNNNNNNNNNNNNNNNNNNNNNNNNNNNNNNNNNNNNNNNNNNNNNNNNNNNNNNNNNNNNNNNNNNNNNNNNNNNNNNNNNNNNNNNNNNNNNNNNNNNNNNNNNNNNNNNNNNNNNNNNNNNNNNNNNNNNNNNNNNNNNNNNNNNNNNNNNNNNNNNNNNNNNNNNNNNNNNNNNNNNNNNNNNNNNNNNNNNNNNNNNNNNNNNNNNNNNNNNNNNNNNNNAGUAUAUAUAUAUAUAUAUAUUAGCAUCAUAAAGAUUUUGCACACAAUUUGUGUAACUAAACUUCUUGUCGUAGGUGUAUGCCUAUUUAACUACUUCCACUUAUUAUGAAAAUUAUUUAUUGUUAUUUUAGGAUAUAAAAAUUCUUUAUAUUAGACUUUUAUUUAUAUAUACUGAUAGUUUAAAGAAUUUUUUGCAAUAUCAAUCAACUCAAAAAAAUAUUUUUAAAUAAUCUUCUCAAAAGUGAAAUUUGUAAUCUUGAUAAAAAUAAGGCAAAUUUUCUGCUAUGAUAAGAAAAUAUGACCGGAUAGUGUAAAUUUUUGUGCUGUCGAUAAAUAAAAGUUAAAACACUUCAAUAAUUUUCAUGGUAUAUAUGGAAUUACACUCUUUGAUUACAUCGUGGAACUAAUGAUACAUUGAUUUUUUCUCGUUCUUCUAUGAAGAAUUUCCGGGAUCAAAAGUAGUAAGUGAAGCAAGUUCAAACUUUGGUCCUUCCUAUGUAUCUGGUCCGGUUCUUUUUGUGUUCGAGAAAGUUUCCACUUUAAUCGUCACAGAAGACAAGAAAGAAGAAGAGGCGGCGAUCCCAGUAGCCGCCGCCUCUGAAGCAGAAGCAACAACAACUGCUCCUGUUGAGGUGAAGGAGAAAGAGAUAGUUGUUGAAGCAGAAGCAAAGAAAGAGGAAGAACCAGCACCAGCACCAGCACCAGCACCUGCACCUGCACCUGCACCUGCACCUGCACCUGCACCUGCGGCGGCACCUGCAGCUGAGGUGGCACCUGCUGAGGUAGCACCUGCAGCUGACGUGGCACCUGCCAAGGUGGAAGAAGCACCUGCAGCAGUAGCAGCACCAGAACCACCAAAAGCUUGAUGAAUCUUUCAAUUUGUUUGUCUCUCUGUGUAAGAGUUGAUUUUUUAUUUUAUUUUUCUUUGUCUGUUGAUUUUUCUGUGUUUUGUGGUCACUGUAUAAGAAAGAAGACAAAAACAUGAUUUGUUAUAUUUUUUGUUUGUGUUUUUCUCCCUUCUCUCUUUCUCGUGUUAGUUUGUACUUUGUACAAUAUUCUAUGUACAUUUUUCAAAGUUUUUCCUUUUGAUUCUUCAAUACUAUAAAAUGUGCCUUGAUAUAUAUGGUUUCUCAUUUCCUUUUUUCUCAGCUGACUU
rnacentral:lncRNA from 1 species